UAAUAAAAAUGUUGGUAAAAGUUCAAGCUUUCUUAUCUGGCCCAAGUCUGUCGAGCCGUGCCAGGAGAGUUGAACAGGGGCAGGAUGACCUUGACCAAGGACGGACAACCUGUAUCUCAGAGACACAUACGCGUACUUAAAAAGGCAUGAAGGCCGUCCAAAUUCCAAAGUUUCCAGAGAGUAAGUGUUUGCUCGCAGUGAGUGUGCGAUGGCUGUCCUGGGAGGCACACAGCAGGUGAAAUUAAAUGGUAAAGAGCAGAAAAAAGACAAAUUAACUGCAAAAGGUGGUCAAAGGAGGGAGCUGUGGCAGCAACAUAUGUGGUAACAGCACAACUAAGUAGUUAAAGAUAAAAUAAAAGAUGUCAGAUAAGAGAUAGAGAAAAAAGAUCUGCCUACAGACCAAGGCACCUGCAGAGCACAAGGAACCAUGAGACAUGACGACAGCGAGACAGAGCUGCACUGGACACGAUGACAGCUCUGGAGUUUCAUGAUGGAAGAAGAAGGCGAGAGAGCAGCUUCAAAAUGGACACAGCAGAAUCUGACUGUGAGGAAGAGAGGGAGGGCCACAAACGAGCAGUGAUACAGGAGGCGUUCCACACAGAGUGUGUCAACCUGAUGCAUCACAGGCCCAAGCCCACCUCCACUGACGUCAGCAUCUUCCCAACGCUGAGGACGCAGCCAGUCAGACCACAUCUACCAUCUACAGUCGAAUCAUAAAGAGGACAACACCACCUUAAAGACUGCGAACCUAACAGCACAAAGUUUAAAAGGUCAAGAAGGCUUUACAGUGAAAAUGAACUUCAGCCAAAAUGCUCUCACAUGUGACCGAGUGCUGACAGAAACUUCACCAAGGAAGCGCUUUCUGUCUCACCAUGAUCAACAUUACAAAUGGUCAGACUGUCAGAGGCCUUGAAAACUGCAACAUCUGCUGAAAAAGAUCUGUUUGAAGACUGACCUCAAAAGAGUUUGGGAGUAGGAGUGUUGAUAAUUUGUAGGAGAAGAAAAAAUAGAAA